CAAGAAAGACACAAGAUUCCUAACCUAUAGAGCGGGGGCAACGCGUGGGACCCACCGACCACAGCGUCGCGAAGAGGAUGACGGCGGCGACAGGCAUAGGCGGAGCAGGCAGUGAGAUCGGCGGGUGCGAAAGGCUGCAGCGGGCGCUUGGCGAUUGCCACCGGCGGUUGCCGCCUGGGCCGGCGCGGGAGUCGGCUUGCCGCCACCUGAAUCGCGCCCUGGCGGAGUGCCUCGUGUCGGCUGCUUGCCCCGACGAGUGCGAGGCCAUCCGCAGCCUCUGCUCCAGCGCCGGUACCGCACUGAAGCGCUCUCAGUGCCAAGACGCCCAGCUCUCCCUCUCUCUCUGCCUCUCCUCACUUCAACUGCCUCCCUAGCUAAUAUCCUUUAAAAAUGACAUAAAAAGAAAAGGAUUACCAAUUGUCGUUUGGUGUUGAAAAUAAUUUGGCAUCUCCACAAUUGGCAGUUCAAUUUGGGAAGAAAAUGUUUUCCUUUUCUAUUAAGGAUGAUGAAUCAGUGCAAAUGAUUCGCCGCAAGACCGAAGAUCGAUUGAGGUGUGUGUAUAUUGUGCUCCUGUUCAAGAUCAACCAACACUUGAGAUGUACAUUCUCCUUUUUUAUAUCUUAAAGAAAAGAUGAUCGGAUUUGGUGUUCAAUUACUUCUUUUUAUCAUAUGGAAAGUGCUCUUAGGGUUUGUGAACGAAAAGGCACCUCAGACAAUACUUAUUGACCAAAAACAUGUCUCUUAAAGAAUCAUUGAGCAUGGAAAUGCCAACAACUACACGUGCACUUCGCAGCAAAAUUUCCUUCCGGGUUCACGAGUGUUUUCAGGGAAUGUUACAAUGAGCGGAAGACCGAGUUUCACCCUGCAAUCUGGAAAAUAGCGAGGAUACAGGAUUCUGAGCUAGGGUGAGGAAGGUGGAAAAAUUCUUUUGGACUCCAACACUUUAUGACUUGUAUGACUAAUGCUCACUUAGUUCAUUACAUUCUUAAAUUACUAUAAUUGGCCAGUCGAAUAUGCUUUAAUCGAACGGUUCCCGAGUGCGCACCAGGCUUUGCUCACUCUGCUCAGUUUUUCAUCAGAAAAUUUGUAUAGUUUCUUGAACUCAAAGAAGGGUAGUUGACUUAGGUUAGGACCAAGGUUCAUGAGGACUUCAACAUCUGAAGCUUGGUUAUUGAUUGUGUAUCUCGUUUGGUCGAAAAAUUAACUGAU